AAUAAACGCUGGCGGCGUGCCUAACACAUGCAAGUCGAGCGAGAAAGCUCCUUCGGGAGUUAGUAAAGCGGCGAACGGGUGAGCAACGCGUGAGAAUCUACCCUUUAGUGAAGAAUACCCUCGAGAAAUCGAGGCUAAUACUGCAUAAGUCCCCUCGGGGAGAAAGAUGGCCUCUUUGCUAUCGCUGAAGGUUGAGCUUGCGUACUAUUAGCUAGUUGGCGGGGUAACGGCCCACCAAGGCAAUGAUGGUUAACCGGCCUGAGAGGGUGUACGGUCACACUGGAACUUAGACACGGUCCAG
rnacentral:rRNA from 1 species